rnacentral:lncRNA from 1 species
GCGGAGGCGGGUCGGGGUGUGAGGGGACGGGGCAGGCUGGGAGCUGCUGCUUGUGGUGCAGAGCAGGAGGCAGGACAGUGAUAGGGACGAAGGAGGGCGCGCUGCAGGCGCUGACUGGGGAGUGACCCUGGGAAGCAUUUUUUGGAGAAUAUAAGUUUUUGCAGCCUGGUUUAGAUGGUGUUUCUGAGACUCUCUCUACUGAUGUUGUGUCGUUGCAGCUUCUUGCUGGCAGGAAUGGGCUGAAGACUUAGGAUGGAACUGUAGAACAUGGAGUGAAUAUUUGGAGAGCACAGGGAAAAAAAAGACAAAAAGUUUUUCAAUUUGGUCUUGAUCAUAGUCAGUUUUUAUGAUCACUGUGAGAAUGUCUAUAGCAUCACUGUAACUACUCCUAUCCAGACUAUUGACAGCAAUCAUUUAUUUGCACUGCGACAUGUCUACCUAUAGCUGUGAAGAAUGCAGUUAGCUAGCGCAAAGCUAUCCUCCACCUUACAGGCAGUGUAGAGCAGAGAAAAUCUACUUUGGCAUCAUAACAGCUAACUGUGGUUGGCUCAUCUCCUUCCUCGGGGAUUAUUUGAUAAAGGUGCUGCUGAAAGACUGGCAUCUGUAGAAGAACAGAGAAUAAGUUGUGUCUGCAGUGCUCAAGUGAACAGGUACCUGACCAGAAGGAACAUGCAACAACGGCAAAGGCUAUUGAAAGACUUUAUCCUGUCUAGGAAGGAACUGCGAGCAUUG